AUACGGGAGGCAGCAGUCGGGAAUUUUGGGCAAUGGGCGAAAGCCUGACCCAGCAACGCCGCGUGAAGGAUGAAAUCCCUCGGGAUGUAAACUUCGCAAGAACGGGAAGAAUAAGUAAGGGUUAAUAUCUCUUACGAUGACGGUACUGUUUGUAAGCUCCGGCUAACUCCGUGCCAGCAGCCGCGGUAAUACGGGGGGAGCAAGCGUUGUUCGGAUUUACUGGGCGUAAAGGGCGCGUAGGCGGCCACUGCAAGUCGACUGUGAAAUCUCCGGGCUUAACCCGGAAAGGUCAGCCGAUACUGCAGGGCUAGAGUGCAGAAGGGGCAACUGGAAUUCUCGGUGUAGCGGUGAAAUGCGUAGAUAUCGAGAGGAACACCUGCGGCGAAGGCGGGUUGCUGGGCUGACACUGACGCUGAUGCGCGAAAGCUAGGGGAGCGAACGGGAUUAGAUACCCCGGU
rnacentral:rRNA from 1 species